AACGCACCUUGCGCCUUGUGGUAUUCCGCAAGGCACGCCUGUUUGAGUGUCAUGUUAUCACUCACUCUGGAGAAGUCACAUUCUUCGAGAGUGGAUUUGGGUGCUGCUGGUGAUUACAUCGGCUCGCCUUGAAAUGCAUUAGUGGUGUGAUUGGCCACAGACCUGAGGGUGUGAUACUUGAUGUUACGCCUGUGUCGUCUGAGUGCUCGCAUUGCUCAUAACCCGACGUGCUUUUUGCGUGUCAACUUUUUAAUGGAAGACCUCAAAUCAGGUGGGACUACCCGCUGAACUUAA
rnacentral:misc_RNA from 1 species